rnacentral:rRNA from 1 species
GACGAACGCUGGCGGCGUGCUUAACACAUGCAAGUCGAACGAAGUGGCGAACGGGAGAGUAACGCGUAAUCAACCUGCCUUUCAGAGGGGGACAAUAGUUGGAAACGACUGCUAAUACCGCAUACUGAAGGAGGGGAUUGCGUCUGAUUAGCUAGUUGGUGGGGUAACGGCCCUACAAGGCGAUGAUCAGUAGGCGGUCUGGGGAGAUGAACGGGCACAUUGGGACUGAGAACCGGGCCAGACUCCUACGGGAGGCAGCAGUGGGGAAUCUUCCGCAAUGGAGGGAAUUCUGACGGGGGAACGCCGGGUGAGGGAUGACGGCCUUCGGGUUGGAAAGCUCUGUUAAUCGGGACGCGGUACCGGAAUAGAAAGCCACGGCUAACUACGUGCCAGCAGCCGCGGUAAUAC